rnacentral:lncRNA from 1 species
AGGAAGAGAGCCUCGGAUCUGUGUCCAGCCCUUCAGAGAGAGAGAUGUGCUGAAUCAGCUUGUGUGGAAUAACUGGCCAAGCCAGAUGGGGUGGUACAACUCCCUUGGCCUGAGCACAUCUAAAGAUGAAUCAAAGAGGCGAUGAGGUAGUGGCAGCAGGCAGGGGUAGAAGGAUGUUGGCACCUUUAGCUUCUCAUGGGUCGUACAGUUUUCAGUCAAUUGGAGCCCCUGUUCAGUGAGGAUGACAGAAGCUUCUAGAAUCAUUGUAGGAAGAUGGCCAGUAAAAGAUAGGUUGGAGAUCAGAACUGCUUCACUUUCUCCAUUGAACAAUUUCUCCUGAGGUUUAGUGCCCAUGUUAUGAUUACAGGUUCAGUGUCUAGCUCCCUAACUUGCUUCUACAGAUUCGCCUAAUGGCUGUGUGUUGGCUGAUGGUCACAGGUGCUGGGAAUAUUAGGAUGUAUCGCUAGCUCAUCUCCUCCUCUGUUCCAGCCAUCCCUCCUUGUUUCUUGUUUUCUCACCAACUAGACCAGAGGCUCCUCUAGGCUCCCCCACGUUUUCCUGUUUCAACGCUUGGGCCCACGAGAAGCUCAGUACCAGUGGGAACACAGCGGGAAGGGAACAGGACUCAUGGACCUGCAGUGGAUCCGCUCACCUUUGUCUCAGUCGUGUGUGGAAACUAACCAGGUAGAGAAUAGUUUUUGACUUGGCUUUAAGCAGAAUCCCACGGCAUCUUCUAGGUUGGCCGUGAAUGGAGGGAACAGCAAGGCCAGACCAUGGUGAGGGGUGAGCAGGGGCCUCUGAAGCAGCUAUUGAUGAUUAACCAGUGAGGAUCGCUGACCACUGCACCUUGUCACAUUCACGUGUCUGGACAGGUGAGGGCUGCUUUGCCCUAGUCAAUACUGAGAACAUAAACCCUCGUUUGUUACUGCUCAGCUGGACUUUCCUGGUGAUACUGAAAGCCCUUAGGAGGUAAAACAGCUAAUGUUUAGGCUACUUAGUAUCUUAAUUCUAUAGUU